rnacentral:rRNA from 1 species
GCGUGCGUGAUGAAGGUCUUAGGACUGUAAAGCGCUUUCACCCGUGACGAUGAUGACGGUAGCGGGAGAAGAAGCCCCGGCUAACUCCGUGCCAGCAGCCGCGGUAAUACGGAGGGGGCAAGCGUUGUUCGGAAUUACUGGGCGUAAAGGGCGCGUAGGCGGCGCUGCAAGUUAGAUGUGAAAGCCCCGGGCUCAACCUGGGAGGUGCAUUUGAUACUGCGGUGCUUGAAUCCGGAAGGGGGUAGUGGAAUUCCCAGUGUAGAGGUGAAAUUCGU